UAUAAACAUACACGUACACACGCACGGAUACGAUAAGAUAAUUUUUAAUAGACAUUGUACGUAUUAGUUUUACGUAUAAGUAAAUUUAUUUCUUUAAUACGUGAUUUAACAGUAAGAAAGAGAUAAAUAGAUAGAUCGAUAAAGAGGGACAGAGAGAGAGAGAGAGAGAGAGAGAAAGAGAAAGGGAGAGAUUAUCACUUGCAAAGUAUAUAAAUAAAACAAAGUAAUUCUCAAUCGUCUACGUUAACCUUGGUUGUCGAAUUCCAAGAAAUUCGUCCUUUAACGAAGUACGUAAAUAAAAUACAAAGGUACGUUCAGUUCGUGUAAGCGAAUAAGAAAGGAAGGUGACUUUCUUCUAUCAGUUUAAUGUAAGCUACUCUACGUGAAACAACUCACGGCACGUUCGCGAAACGGAUAAGGAAUAAUUUUCACGAUAAAAUUUUGCUCGAUAAUUACUUCUGACUGAGACAGGAAAGUUCCAAGGUGGUGCAUUUAUAUCGAUGCCUCGACUCAAGAGUCGGUACGAUGAUACCAAUGGCCAAGCUCGAGUCCUUCUCGUGGUAACACACAACCGCGUCGCAUUCCUUUCCGUCUGUAAAUGCACAUGAGAGACGGGUCACGGAGUUUUUGGCAUCAGGAAGUUCCACUUUACCGAGAUAAGCUUCGCAGAAGAGUCUCGCAGAGCCACCCAAAGGAACCAAUUGCGAUGCCGGCCUGUAAGUGGGCAAUGGCUUUCCCGUGUAACCACCUGACUCUUCUCCUGAAAGCAAACGAGAAGAGGAUGCAAACACGAACAUCGAACGGGACAUAUACGAGAUCGCACGUGUCUGUCUAUCUUUUUCUAACUGUUACGAUACUACCAAGGAGUAGUAACUGCAACGCAGAGUGCAAAGGCAAUGACAAAAGCAGCAAAAGCAUUAAAAGCAACAGCAACAGAAACAGCAACAGCAACAGCACCAGCAGAAGCACCAGCACCAACAGCAGCAGGAGCAGCAACAGCAACAGGAUGCAGACGUGAAUGUACGAUUUGUACGUGUUCAGAAAGAGGAAGAAAGAGAAUGGGAGAGAGAGAGAGAGAGAGAGAGAGAGAGAGAGAGAGAGAGAGAGAAACAGAGUUCAAGCCAGCUGUGAGAGAAUCCGUUGCAAGUCUCUCCUCGUAUACGCUUUGGAAGGUGCGAUUGUACUUCUUCCGCGACACGACCGGUUGCUUUGUAAAGUAACCUUCCACAUUCGAGAAUACCUUUUUAACGACAACCUCUCUCUACGUUCAACUUACGUGUAUUCGUCGAAUUUAUAUACUAUUUGUCUAUAUGUAUUUAUCAAUGUGUGUGUGUGUGUGUAUUAUGUUAACUGAAUGAUCACUCAGAAGACUUUACGAAACUUUUCCGAUCUACACGAUAAAGUAGAAAUAGACAACAUCGUUGAUCUUAUUAGAUAAGGAGAAAACGAUUAAGUUGUAAAGAACGAUAUAUAUUUCGUAGUAUUUGUUUUUCUUUUUCUUUUUUUUUCUCCUUCUCUCUCUCUCUCUCUCUCUCUCUCUUUCGUUUCUUUUCUUUUCUUGUCUUGUCUCUUCUCUUUUUCUUUCUCUCUUUCCUUUCUUUUCAUGUUCUUUCUAUUCUUAUAUUUUCUCUCCUACACGAAUUCGUGUCCAA